UGGGGUAUAGCUCAGUUGGGAGAGCAGCAGACUGAAGUGGAAGUCACACAUUGUCCUUCUGAAGGUCCCGCGUUCAAUCCGCGGUGCCCCCA